rnacentral:snRNA from 1 species
AUACUUAACUGGCAGAACAGAUCAUGAUCACGAAGGUGGUUUUCCCAGGGCAAGGCUUAUCCAUUGCACUCCAGAUGUGCUGACCCCUGUGAUUUCCCUAGAUGUGGGAUACUCAACUGCAUAAUUUGUGGUAGUGGGGGACUGUGCUUGCGCUCUCUCUUG